CCUAUGCUUCACUGUUGACCUGCCUUCAUGUUGAGUUUAUGGCUAAUCCCUGGGAGUGACUGGUGCUGCUCCUUGGGCGCUGCUGCAACCUCUGGGAGCAAAAGGCUACGUGCCCCUUGCUGCUAUUUGGUGUGGAGGGCUGCUAGCUUUCUACUCUUCUCAUCAAUGUCAUAUCUUCCCAAGUCCAGUGGGAGCUGUGACACCUGCGCUGAUCCUGAUUACCUGAAUGGAGCUCGCUGAUUCUUCUGCCUACAUACACCUGCCUCACAUAACCAGUCUCCACCAGAUUCCUAAAACACCAUGGUGUGAGUAGAGCAUCUAGUGGUCUCUGAUUGCCUUGCUAGUUGUGACCUUGCCCCUGUCCGACUGUGGCUUCAGAUUUUUGGACAUCAACCUCCUGAUUUGCCUCCUGACCAAGCCUUUUGGCUUGCUUUUUUAGUUAUCUCUGCCUGCCUCUGCCUUCAGUUCUGACCCACGCCCAGACUCAGGAUUUUUGUCUUCUUCUGAUCUGCCCGCUUCACCCAACCAAGCACCCAGUCGGAGCUCUCAGAGCCACAGAUCAGUUUCAGUGCAGCCUUCCAGAUUCUGAGAAGUGGUUCCUCUGUGCACUCCCGGCAGUUUCCAGGCAGUGCUCAUCAUACUUAUUUUAAAUACAUUCUUUAAAUCCACUCAUGUUGCCUGGCUGAAUUAUUGAGUCCCAAGUCUUGCCAUUACAACUACUUACUCAUGCUCUGGGUACAGCCUAGAAAAUCACCAGUCCAUUACAGGACCAACAAAUGGGAUUAAUAUUUAAAUACAAAAACUAAAUAUUUACAUCACCAUUAAUUGACACAUUUGCUGCAUAACCACUGAUUUAAUUUUUCUCUCUAAACUGUGGCUUGUUUGAUCAACUUGCAUUUUUAGAUUUUGAAAUAUUUAAUUUUCUCUGUAUUUUACUUCACUUGUUUACAUGUAUCGGAACUUUGUGUAAUCUGCCUUUUAAAAAAGGGUUUGCAAAAUCAUCCCAACAUUUUAUUACAUUUCAGCCUCAUAUGCGAAAGCACAUCCAAAGAUUUCAUGCUACUGAAAGCUAUUUCAAAACUCUGCUUCAGACAUGAAUUGGUCCUGACAAGUAUAAAAAUCAAAAUGCAAAACCAAAACCAAAUUUUGCCAGUUUUUGCCUGAAGAGAAAGGGCAAACAAGUGAGAUCGGUAUGAACUACUUAUUAUAUGCAUCAUUGUUAGACAGAUUUAAUUAGAGUGCUGGAGAUGAACAAAAACAGUCAGCGUUAUAAAAAUGAAAAAUCUGUGUGCUUGUUAACAGAGCAGGAAGGAAAAAUAUUUCAUCACUUAAUUUUUUCCCCGUAAAUUUUUCAAACCAAUUUCAAACAAAUUUAUUGAACAAAGCCCACAGAAUAAAGGCUUUACUUCACUCAUUAAAUAUUGAAUGUUGCUGAAAGGUUACAUUUCCUAUGGUUUCUAAAUGACCAGUUUUAGGCUUUAAUGAACAUGCCAUCGGAUUAAACAAGGGGUUUAAAAUUUUAAUUCAUGAGGAGGGCCUGGGAUCUCUUGGCUCCUCAAUAAUUCACGCUACUCUGAAGGUGUUAGAGCUCAUUUAAAAUCAUGAAAUUCAGCUAUUUUGUUGCUUUAAAGAAAAUUAAAGUCAACAUUUUGGGGUGUUAUUUUGUAACUACAUACAUUUACGCAAACUGCAAAGGAAAAUGUGUUUUUAUU